UUCGCCCUUAGAGUUUGAUCCUGGCUCAGGACGAACGCUGGCGGCGCGCCUAACACAUGCAAGUCGAACGGAGCUAUGUUGAAAGCUUGCUGGAUAUAUAGCUUAGUGGCGGACGGGUGAGUAACACGUGAGCAACCUGCCUUUCAGAGUGGAAUAACGUUUGGAAACGAACGCUAAUACCGCAUAAUGUCAGAGGAUGGCAUCAUUCUUUGACCAAAGAUUUAUCGCUGAAAGAUGGGCUCGCGGCCGAUUAGGUAGUUGGUGAGAUAAUAGCCCACCAAGCCGACGAUCGGUAGCCGGACUGAGAGGUUGAACGGCCACAUUGGGACUGAGACACGGCCCAGACUCCUACGGGAGGCAGCAGUGGGGGAUAUUGCACAAUGGGGGAAACCCUGAUGCAGCGACGCCGCGUGAGGGAAGACGGCCUUCGGGUUGUAAACCUCUGUCUUCGGGGACGAAUAAAUGACGGUACCCGAGGAGGAAGCCACGGCUAACUACGUGCCAGCAGCCGCGGUAAUACGUAGGUGGCAAGCGUUGUCCGGAAUUACUGGGUGUAAAGGGAGCGUAGGCGGGGAAGCAAGUUGAAUGUCUAAACUAUCGGCUCAACUGAUAGUCGCGUUCAAAACUGCCACUCUUGAGUGCAGUAGAGGUAGGUGGAAUUCCUAGUGUAGCGGUGAAAUGCGUAGAUAUUAGGAGGAACACCAGUGGCGAAGGCGGCCUACUGGGCUGUAACUGACGCUGAGGCUCGAAAGCGUGGGUAGCAAACAGGAUUAGAUACCCUGGUAGUCCACGCCGUAAACGAUGAUUACUAGGUGUGGGGGGACUGACCCCUUCCGUGCCGGAGUUAACACAAUAAGUAAUCCACCUGGGGAGUACGGCCGCAAGGCUGAAACUCAAAGGAAUUGACGGGGGCCCGCACAAGCAGUGGAGUAUGUGGUUUAAUUCGAAGCAACGCGAAGAACCUUACCAAGUCUUGACAUCCUUCUGACCGGUACUUAACCGUACCUUCUCUUCGGAGCAGGAGUGACAGGUGGUGCAUGGUUGUCGUCAGCUCGUGUCGUGAGAUGUUGGGUUAAGUCCCGCAACGAGCGCAACCCUUAUCUUUAGUAGCCAGCGGUCCGGCCGGGCACUCUGGAGAGACUGCCAGGGAUAACCUGGAGGAAGGUGGGGAUGACGUCAAAUCAUCAUGCCCCUUAUGAGCAGGGCUACACACGUGCUACAAUGGCGUAAACAAAGGGAGGCAGAACCGCGAGGUCGAGCAAAUCCCAAAAAUAACGUCUCAGUUCGGAUUGUAGUCUGCAACUCGACUACAUGAAGCUGGAAUCGCUAGUAAUCGCGAAUCAGAAUGUCGCGGUGAAUACGUUCCCGGGUCUUGCACUCACCGCCCGUCA
rnacentral:rRNA from 1 species